rnacentral:rRNA from 1 species
AUUGAACGCUAGCGGGAUGCUUUACACAUGCAAGUCGAACGAGUGGCGGACGGGUGAGUCAUAUAUCGGAACGUGCCCAGUAGCGGGGGAUAACUACUCGAAAGAGUGGUUAAUCCCGCAUACCAUCGGAGCGGCCGAUACCGGAUUAGAUAGUUGGUGGGGUAAAGGCUCACCAAGGCCACGGGCCGUAGCUGGUUUGAGGGGACGACCAGCAACACGGGGACUGAGAAACGGCCCAGACUCCUAGGGGAGGCAGCAGUGGGGAAUUUUGGACAAUGGGGGAAACCCUGAUCCAGCCAUCCCGCGUGUAUGAGAAGGCCUUCGGGUUGUAAAGUACUUUUGGCAGAGAAGCGGAAUCUGCAGAAUAAGCACCGGCUAACUACGUGCCAGCAGCCGCGGAAUAC